CUCAUCGUAUCCUCCUCAUUCGCUGUUUAGCGCUAGUCGAGUUUACGUCGAUUAACCGUCCCCGUUGUUUGUUGAUUUUAUUGCCAUACACAUACAGGCACGAAAGUAAAGCGAAACGUGUAGAAGUACAGCUAAAGUAGUCUUCGCGACGUUGUGCUAAACCACUAGAGGAAAAAAAAGUAGUUCAAAGAGUAGUCAAAAGUUGUUUGGCGUCCUGUAUUUCGUGGGCCAAAAAAGGUUGGGUAAGGAAAAGUGUGCACUUUUUUCUUCAAUCACUCAGCAAAUAUAUUUGCAAAACCAAGCCGUAACGCAGCCGUUCACCGCCCGCAAAAUCGGAAAGUAGCUGCCGUUAAAGUUGUUUAAAGUUUACACUGUGCGAGUGUUGCCACCAAUUAUUCCGCGUACCGUUCGGUUGUUUAAGUGUUGUUCGAAAGUGAAGUUAAUUACGCGCGCGUAGUUUGGAAAAGAAUAUACCCCCGACCCACGUUAAGCAAAAGAGGCAAAAGAAGAGUCGUAAUACCAUUUUUUGGGGGGUAUUUAAAAUACCGGUAAAGCGGAAAUAGAAAGAAAGAAAAGGUGUUACUGUGUAUUGUGAGUGUGAGCGCUAACCUUCUUCGUAAGCCCGUUUCCCGCAUCAAAGGGCUGUUCUGCUUUCCGCGUGCUGUUUUGCUGUGUCCCUACUCAUAGGGCAUUACACACAUACACACACAAUUGUGCCGUUGCCAGUUGCAGGAGAAAUCGCAAGAAAUCUUACAGCAACGAAAGGAAAGGAAGAAAACAACGAAAAGCCUAGCACAAUCCCAUCUGCUACACCGUUCCGACGACCUUACCUUCGCAUCGGUAACAGGAAACUGGAGCCGGAUCUACAGCGGCAAGCGACCAUAACCCAACAGCACUACGCAUAAGCGGCAACACUUCCUUACCGUAAAGGGAGCAGGCAAGUGUGCGAGUGUGCGAUCGGGUUUUUUUGGGGAAAGGAAAAUUUUCGAGGAACGACCCCGGUACGACGCAAACGGCCUCAAGAUUUUCCCGUCCACAAUUAAGGAAAUAACGGCGCCAGUAAACUACUUCCUAACGAAAAAAGUCAUUGUAAGUGGUCCCUAA